rnacentral:rRNA from 1 species
CCAGAACACAGGUGCUGCAUGGCUGUCGUCAGGCUCGUGUCGUGAGAUGUUGGGUUAAGUCCCGCAACGAGCGCAACCCUUGUCACUAGUUGCCAUCAUUUGGUUGGGCACUCUAGUGAGACUGCCGGUGACAAACCGGAGGAAGGUGGGGAUGACGUCAAGUCCUCAUGGCCCUUAUGGGUAGGGCUUCACACGUCAUACAAUGGUCGGUACAGAGGGUUGCCAAGCCGCGAGGUGGAGCCAAUCCCUUAAAGCCGAUCGUAGUCCGGAUCGUAGUCUGCAACUCGACUACGUGAAGUCGGAAUCGCUAGUAAUCGCAGAUCAGCAUGCUGCGGUGAAUACGUUCCCGGGUCUU